rfam:Echinostoma caproni strain Egypt genome assembly, scaffold: ECPE_scaffold0001053
GGCCUCGUAGCUCAGCUGGUAGAGCGUGCGUUGUACAAAGGCGUAGGUGGCGUCCUUGCGUGGGUUCGAAUCCCACCGAGGCCA